rnacentral:rRNA from 1 species
CUUUUCUUGGUUUUAUUAGAGAUCUGACCUGCCCAAUGAUUUUUUAAUGGCCGCGGUAUAUUGACCGUGCAAAGGUAGCAUAAUCAUUAGUUUAUUAAUUGUGGACUUGUAUGAAUGGUUGGACGAAAUAUUUACUGUCUCAUAUUAAAUAUAUUGAAUUUAAUUUUUUUGUUAAAAAGCUUAAAUUUUUUUGGAGGACGAGAAGACCCUAUAGAUCUUUAUUAUUUUUAUUUUUAAAUGUUUUGGUUUCUUUUUAUUAAUUUUUAAAAAUUUUUUGGUUGGGGUGACACGGAGAUUUAAUUAACUCUUUUAUAUAAUGUACAAUGGUUUUUGUUUAUUGGAUCUUUUAUUAUUGUUUAUUAGAUUAGAUACCUUAGGGAUAACAGCGUAAUUCUUUUUGAGAGUUCAUAUCGACAAUGGAGAUUGCGACCUCGAUGUUGGAUUAAGAAUAAUUUUGGGUGUAGAUGUUCAAAAGUUAGGUCUGUUCGACCUUUAAAUUCUU